AGACGUUAAAAUCUGGUUUAAGAGCAAAAAAACUACCUGUGCCAAUCAGUUUUUGCCAUUUAUGGGCUUUACCCUAUAAAAGAAAACCAUUUUAUGCAUUUAAAUGACCUUACACGUUAUCAGUUUAUUAAGCGUUUAGACUAUGUAGACACACUCACUGUGCACUAAAAUUAAAAAAAUUGGUUAACACGACCACUCGUGGUGGCUUCACUCAGAGGUUGGAGAAGACAACCGGUGGACUAAACAUCAAGCCUCUGCAUGAUUCAGGUAAGUGGAAUAAAAUACACUGUAAAUAAACAUUAUUAAAACAGAUUGUGAAGUCAUUCAUUCAAAACUUGCUAUGACCUAAGCCUAAAUGACUUAAUUUCUUUUUAGAAUUAAGACAACCUUAGCAGGAGAGCCCCAGCAGUAACUUUCUCUCAAGCAGAUGAGCAAUAAGUUGCUUUGUAUGAACACCACCCUAACAAUCAAGUAGCCUGUUAACAGUAGACCAAAGGUAUGAUGAUCAAUUAUAAAUGCAAUAUGGUUGAAAGGUCAGUAAACAAACAACAAAAAGGUAAUUUCUUAAUAGAAUGUCUAUACAUUUUUUGCUUUUGUUACAUAUUUCAUACAUCAAAAUCAUUAAACGUUAAUAAUUAUGUAUUCCAACUUGUUGCAGCUUGACAAAAAUGUAGCUUGAAGGAGAAGGGACAGCUGAGUAACAAAGUCCUGGUACGCAGACGACGAUACUAUUACACUGACAAGAGUGUAAUGAUGAUGGAGACACAAGCCAGAGAAAGGGGGGACCAAACACCAGGCCAGAAUUCUGCAUGAGUCAGAUCCAGUGGGUGCAGAUCAUCAUACAGAUGGUUCAAGUGUGGAUCCACCUAAUAUUCAAGAUUUUCUGUCCUGGGACACUCGGCUAACCAUCAAGAAAGAACACACUCCAGUGGGCAUCCUUUAUCCAUCCAGACCCUCAUACAGAUGGUUGGAGUUUUGAUUAAUCUAAAGUACCAUGCAAGAGCACUCAUUUUCCCUCUUGAGACCAUGGUGUGACCUGCAAGGUCGAAUGGAGACUGUAAACGAGACAAUCUUGGAGUCACCUGCAUUCACUGGUCCAGUUGUUAGUCCAAUUACAGAUGGAGAUUAUAGAAGAGGAUGAUGUCUUUUCUCCAACAUCUUUCUAGACUGAUAAAAGAUCUAGACAGGCUUGAACAAAAGUUAACAGAGGGGCUUAUAUAGAGAAUGGUGAGCAGCUACACAUAAAAGAAGAACAUGGAGAAUCUGCCCAGAGGUGUUAACCAGCAAUGCAGCUAUACAACUAAAUUGAUGCAGGCGGAAACAAUGUGUAAUGCAGCUGCUGCAGAUGAAGAAUCCGUCCGUCUAGCACUGAAGGAGACGCGGAAAAUCGGGAAAAGAUGUUCUUUGCCCGAGGAAGCAUUUGAUUAAUUUAAAGAUAUUGUGUUUCUUUGUAUGUUAUAGAAAAACGUUGCUUUUUUGCAUACACUCGUGUAAAUAUGCAUCUUAUGAAUGUUUUCCUUUGUCUAAUUUUAAUAAAUUUUACGCAAUCAACUGCCUGUUUUAUUGAAAAUACUGUUUUAAUUGUUGU